AACACAUGCAAGUUGAGCGACGGACGUGGAAAGUAGAGAUACCGGAAGACUUACGGAGCAGCGGACUGGUGAGUAAUACAUGAGAAGCUGUCCAUCAGAGAGGGACAACAGCUGGAAACGGCUGCUAAUACCUCGUAGGCCGAAAGGUUAAAGCAGCAAUGUGCUGGUGGAGGUGCUCGUGUCCUAUCAACUAGAUGGCGGGGUAACGGCCCACCAUGGUAACGACGGGUAGCCGGCCUGAGAGGGUGUCCGGCCACACUGGGACUGAGAUACGGCCCAGACUCCUGCGGGAGGCAGCAGUGGGGAAUAUUGGGCAAUGGGAGGAAUCCUGACCCAGCGACGCCGCGUGAACGAAGAAGGCCUUCGGGUCGUAAAGUUCUUUUAUACUAGAAGAAAGAAAUGACGGUAUAGUAUGAAUAAGCCCCGGCUAACUACGUGCCAGCAGCCGCGGUAAUACGUAGGGGGCGAGCGUUGUCCGGAAUUACUGGGCGUAAAGGGCGCGCAGGCUGUUAAUCAAGUCAGCUGUUAAAUGGUCCGGCUUAACUGGAUUAUGCAGUUGAAACUGUUUGACUGGAGU
rnacentral:rRNA from 1 species